rnacentral:rRNA from 1 species
UGGGGAAUUUUGGACAAUGGGCGAAAGCCUGAUCCAGCAAUGCCGCGUGUGUGAAGAAGGCCUUCGGGUUGUAAAGCACUUUUGUCCGGAAAGAAAUCCUUGGCUCUAAUACAGUCGGGGGAUGACGGUACCGGAAGAAUAAGCACCGGCUAACUACGUGCCAGCAGCCGCGGUAAUACGUAGGGUGCAAGCGUUAAUCGGAAUUACUGGGCGUAAAGCGUGCGCAGGCGGUUUGCUAAGACCGAUGUGAAAUCCCCGGGCUCAACCUGGGAACUGCAUUGGUGACUGGCAGGCUAGAGUAUGGCAGAGGGGGGUAGAAUUCCACGUGUAGCAGUGAAAUGCGUAGAGAUGUGGAGGAAUACCGAUGGCGAAGGCAGCCCCCUGGGCCAAUACUGACGCUCAUGCACGAAAGCGUGGGGAGCAAACAGGAUUAGAUACCCUGGUAGUCCACGCCCUAAACGAUGUCAACUAGUUGUUGGGGAUUCAUUUCCUAGUAACGUAGCUAACGCGUGAAGUUGACCGCCUGGGGAGUACGGUCGCAAGAUUAAAACUUAAAUGAAUU